UUUCGGUUGAUCCUGCCGGAGSCAUUGCUAUCGGAGUCCGAUUUAGCCAUGCUAGUCGCACGAGUUCAGACUCGUGGCAUAUAGCUCAGUAACACGUGGCCAAACUACCCUACAGACCGCGAUAACCUCGGGAAACUGAGGCCAAUAGCGGAUAUAACUCCCAUGCUGGAGUGCAGAGAGUUAGAAACGUUCCGGCGCUGUAGGAUGUGGCUGCGGCCGAUUAGGUAGAUGGUGGGGUAACGGCCCACCAUGCCGAUAAUCGGUACAGGUUGUGAGAGCAAGAGCCUGGAGACGGUAUCUGAGACAAGAUACCGGGCCCUACGGGGCGCAGCAGGCGCGAAACCUUUACACUGCACGACAGUGCGAUAGGGGGACUCCGAGUGUGAGGGCAUAUAGCCCACGCUUUUCUGUACCGUAAGGUGGUACAGGAACAAGGACUGGGCAAGACCGGUGCCAGCYGCCGCGGUAAUACCGGCAGUCCAAGUGAUGGCCGAUAUUAUUGGGCCUAAAGCGUCCGUAGCUUGCUGUGUAAGUCCAUUUGGGAAAUCGACCAGCUCAACUGGUCGGCGUCCGGUGGAAACUACACAGCUUGGGGCCGAGAGACUCAACGGGUACGUCCGGGGUAGGAGUGAAAUCCUGUAAUCCUGGACGGACCACCAAUGGGGAAACCACGUUGAGAGACCGGACCUGACAGUGAGGGACGAAAGCCAGGGUCUCGAACCGGAUUAGAUACCCGGGUAGUCCUGGCUGUAAACAAUGCUCGCUAGGUAUGUCACGCGCCAUGAGCACGUGAUUGUGCCC
rnacentral:rRNA from 1 species